rnacentral:rRNA from 1 species
AUGAACGCUGGCGGCGUGCCUAAUCCAUGCAAGUCGAGCGAACAGACGAGGAGCUUGCUCCUCUGACGUUAGCGGCGGACGGGUGAGUAACACGUGGAUAACCUACCUAUAAGACUGGGAUAACUUCGGGAAACCGGAGCUAAUACCGGAUAAUAUAUUGAACCGCAUGGUUCAAUAGUGAAAGACGGUUUUGCUGUCACUUAUAGAUGGAUCCGCGCCGCAUUAGCUAGUUGGUAAGGUAACGGCUUACCAAGGCAACGAUGCGUAGCCGACCUGAGAGGGGUGUCCGGCACACCGGAACUGAGACACGGUCCAGACUCCUACGGGAGGCAGCAGUAGGGAAUCUUCCGCAAUGGGCGAAAGCCUGACGGAGCAACGCCGCGUGAGUGAUGAAGGUCUUCGGAUCGUAAAACUCUGUUAUUAGGGAAGAACAAAUGUGUAAGUAACUAUGCACGUCUUGACGGUACCUAAUCAGAAAGCCACGGCUAACUACGUG